AACCACUCCAACCAAAGGAUCUCUGUCCCCUGGAACCCGUAGCCAUAAAUAUAAGAGCUCAAAGAAGUGUUUAAUGACAGAAAUGGUCACGGAGCCAACAACGGCACCUACAGAAAGUGUAUAUCCUGCCCUGGUGGGCUGUAAAGCAUCUGUCGACAUAAUUCUGCCUCAAAUUACUCCAAACUCUUGGACAAGAGGGUUAGGACAUCUGAUUCGAGCAAAGAAUAUCAGGACAGUGGGCGACUUGAGUUCUCUCACC